UACGUAGGGCGCGAGCGUUGUCCGGAUUUAUUGGGCGUAAAGGGCUUGUAGGCGGCUUGUCGCGUCGGAUGUGAAAACCCGUGGCUCAACUGCGGGCCUGCAUUCGAUACGGGCUGGCUAGAGUACGGCAGGGGGAGACUGGAAUUCCUGGUGUAGCGGUGGAAUGCGCAGAUAUCAGGAGGAACACCGGUGGCGAAGGCGGGUCUCUGGGCCGUUACUGACGCUGAGAAGCGAAAGCAUGGGGAGCGAACAGG
rnacentral:rRNA from 1 species